ensembl:lncRNA
CGGGCAACUGGCUCAUUUUUAGGCUCCAUGCAGCUGCGAGGAUGUGAGCUUUUCGCAGCUACGAUGGAAAGGACCUUGAUUAGCAAGGGCAGGUCAAGUGGAUCUGACUAAUCAUUACCCAGGGUUUCAUCUGUACCUGUUACGUGGAAGGAAGGUGAAGGAGAAGGGAUACGAACGGCCUUUGAUAAGCUUGUCAGGUAGUCACUUGUACCUGUGUCGCUAAAAUCCUGGCAGGCAGUUCCCUGCGACGGUUUAUAAAUACCUCCUCGUAUGGACCCAAAGUCAGGAUGAAGCCAUCAGCUCUACCUUCCUGUUGAACUCUGGAAUAAGUACAUCAGGUCCAGGCAAUUCCAGUGUAUAACCAGUACAGCAAGGUCCAGAAGCCUGAGGAAACUGAAAUCCAUCUGAUCCCGGGCACCAGGCAGGAUCGGGAGGAGAUUUGCCUGCAGCUCUCAUUCCCGCAAAGAUGUGGUCCAUCUGCCCCUGCUCCACAGCAGCGACCCUCCUUCCUGCCUCUCCUGGCCCCCUUCUCAGCUCUGGGGAGGACUAGGACUCCCGGGUCUCCUCCACCAGACCCAGAGCACAGAGCAGGGGUGGCCCCAAGAGGACCAUGUGGACCACAAUCAACCCUGCUCCCUGCUGAGGCUCCAUAUUGUGAGUUCUCCCCAAAGCUGAACUCCUCGUUCUUCACUGCAGACCCAAGCUCCCAAAGAUGCUGGUGGCAUGAUGAAGCGCCUGACUCACAGCUCUCCCUGUGCCCUGCUUCUGGCCACAGAGAACAGUAUCUGGAGCCCGGGAUAGCUUGGGGG